CGUCAAUUUAUAUAUCUUCCGACUUCCUCCCGCUGUUAAAACGUGUGUUCUUUUUCAACAGCAGUACCAACAAGAACUUUCCCCCAAAAUUUGAGAUAAGUAGGUAAACUUCUACGAUCAAAGCAUCAAGUCGUUGUAGUAUAGUGGUAAGUAUUCCCGCCUGUCACGCGGGUGACCCGGGUUCGAUCCCCGGCAGCGGCGCAAUUUUUGUUUCAUUUUUGCUCCCGCUCCAAACCGAGUAAUCACUAUAUAUAUACAGAAACCCCGACUUAAAGCUUCAAUUCUCAAACAAUUUGAAGAUUUUCCGGCGACGAUUCGAAUUGCAAGGAAUCUUUUAACGGCAACCAAGGGUUUCCGACGACUUUCUCUCCCUACAAACCCAUUGAUGAGUCAUAUGCUCAAGGUCUAAUAGCAUUAGAACAAUGUCAAUCUACGCGGCAAGAUGAUGAUUGAAAGGGUCUUGUUUUACUAGGCAUGGCGCCCUUAUUCUCGCAAAGUUGAAAUUAUGAGGAAGCGAUUGAGCAGCUUAAGAAAGUUCAAGGCUUGGCAGUUUCCUCAUUGGCUAUUAAAGUGGCUGCUAUUCAAGCACACUUGGAACUCGGUCAGGUUUUACUCGGAAAAUGAUUUGAUUGUGUGUGCUAGUAAUUUACAUUGAGCUCAGUCUUUAGCAGCGAUAUGUAUUUAUCUGGAGAAUGUUCUCCAUAUAUAGGAAGAUACUUCAUCAGUGCUUGCAGAUAUAUGCUUAUAAUCUCUGGAAUCUGUCCAGCUGGAAAAUGGCAGCAAUUAUGGAGAUGGAUUACUGGAUGCUCGACUGCUCUUGCUAAGGCAAUGUUGCCUUAUCAUAUGGAGGAUUCCUUCAUGGCUCAUGCCAAGCAAAAUUUUCCAAUGGCGAAGGAAAUCUUUUGAAAAAGUAAUCCAAGGGGUGUCAGAAACAACAGAUUUGAGCGAUCCACAUAACUUAGCAGCUGGUAAUAUGAUUUUGGAGUGAGCUCUUAUGGCGGCUACUUGUUUAUUGUGGCAGCUUGAGGCACAGUUAGGAAAUUUUGCAGAGGCAGAGGAGAUGUUAUGUGUGGGGCCUAGUAGAACCGAGGUGAGGUCUAGUUGAACUUAGAUGGUACCAGCAUCGUGGGAUAGGUGUGUGAUCUCAUAUAGGAGGAUGUAGGGAAUUAAAUAAUGGGGCAUAAGCGGCGGCGGAGGCGACCGGGAAGCAGUACAGAUACACAUUAAGGAGUGUCAACCCAUCAAGACUAUUAAGUAUGCAGCGUUGCUUUAAACAAUCCCCCCGUUUGAGACGUUCUUGGCCUUUCGGGAUUAUCCUAUCCCCCGACCAAACACAGGAAACUGCUUAGUGAGUUUGGUCGAAACUACUUUAUUCAACGCAACAUCUCUUUAGCUUAAAAAUUAAAUUCUAAUGUUGGUGUCGAUUGGAAUUCCG